rnacentral:tRNA from 1 species
GCUCCUUUAGCUCAGUUGGUUAUAGAGCACGGAUCUUAUGAGUCCGGGGUCACGGGUUCGAGCCCCGUAAGGAACA